AUUUUGUCCGGCUCGAUGCCCGAUAUAACUCAACAGGACAGAAGCGGGGGACCCACCCGCGCGGGAAUAACUUCCGGCGCAACGCGGACCCUCAUAUUCGAGACCGCUAGGGGUGAAGCCGCGCACCGCGGCCAGGCGCUUGAACCCCCUCAGCCUGAACCCGACAGCUCACCCCGCAGACGUAGAACAAGAGAGGAAAA
rnacentral:sRNA from 2 species